GUUAUCACGGGAGACACACGGCGGGUGCUAACGUCCGUCGUGAAGAGGGAAACAACCCAGACCGCCAGCUAAGGUCCCAAAGUCAUGGUUAAGUGGGAAACGAUGUGGGAAGGCCCAGACAGCCAGGAUGUUGGCUUAGAAGCAGCCAUCAUUUAAAGAAAGCGUAAUAGCUCACUGGUCGAGUCGGCCUGCGCGGAAGAUGUAACGGGGCUAAACCAUGCACCGAAGCUGCGGCAGCGACGCUUAUGCGUUGUUGGGUAGGGGAGCGUUCUGUAAGCCUGCGAAGGUGUGCUGUGAGGCAUGCUGGAGGUAUCAGAAGUGCGAAUGCUGACAUAAGUAACGAUAAAGCGGGUGAAAAGCCCGCUCGCCGGAAGACCAAGGGUUCCUGUCCAACGUUAAUCGGGGCAGGGUGAGUCGACCCCUAAGGCGAGGCCGAAAGGCGUAGUCGAUGGGAAACAGGUUAAUAUUCCUGUACUUGGUGUUACUGCGAAGGGGGGACGGAGAAGGCUAUGUUGGCCGGGCGACGGUUGUCCCGGUUUAAGCGUGUAGGCUGGUUUUCCAGGCAAAUCCGGAAAAUCAAGGCUGAGGCGUGAUGACGAGGCACUACGGUGCUGAAGCAACAAAUGCCCUGCUUCCAGGAAAAGCCUCUAAGCAUCAGGUAACAUCAAAUCGUACCCCAAACCGACACAGGUGGUCAGGUAGAGAAUACCAAGGCGCUUGAGAGAACUCGGGUGAAGGAACUAGGCAAAAUGGUGCCGUAACUUCGGGAGAAGGCACGCUGAUAUGUAGGUGAAGCGACUUGCUCGUGGAGCUGAAAUCAGUCGAAGAUACCAGCUGGCUGCAACUGUUUAUUAAAAACACAGCACUGUGCAAACACGAAAGUGGACGUAUACGGUGUGACGCCUGCCCGGUGCCGGAAGGUUAAUUGAUGGGGUCAGCGCAAGCGAAGCUCUUGAUCGAAGCCCCGGUAAACGGCGGCCGUAACUAUAACGGUCCUAAGGUAGCGAAAUUCCUUGUCGGGUAAGUUCCGACCUGCACGAAUGGCGUAAUGAUGGCCAGGCUGUCUCCACCCGAGACUCAGUGAAAUUGAACUCGCUGUGAAGAUGCAGUGUACCCGCGGCAAGACGGAAAGACCCCGUGAACCUUUACUAUAGCUUGACACUGAACAUUGAGCCUUGAUGUGUAGGAUAGGUGGGAGGCUUUGAAGUGUGGACGCCAGUCUGCAUGGAGCCGACCUUGAAAUACCACCCUUUAAUGUUUGAUGUUCUAACGUGGACCCGUAAUCCGGGUUGCGGACAGUGUCUGGUGGGUAGUUUGACUGGGGCGGUCUCCUCCUAAAGAGUAACGGAGGAGCACGAAGGUUGGCUAAUCCUGGUCGGACAUCAGGAGGUUAGUGCAAUGGCAUAAGCCAGCUUGACUGCGAGCGUGACGGCGCGAGCAGGUGCGAAAGCAGGUCAUAGUGAUCCGGUGGUUCUGAAUGGAAGGGCCAUCGCUCAACGGAUAAAAGGUACUCCGGGGAUAACAGGCUGAUACCGCCCAAGAGUUCAUAUCGACGGCGGUGUUUGGCACCUCGAUGUCGGCUCAUCACAUCCUGGGGCUGAAGUAGGUCCCAAGGGUAUGGCUGUUCGCCAUUUAAAGUGGUACGCGAGCUGGGUUUAGAACGUCGUGAGACAGUUCGGUCCCUAUCUGCCGUGGGCGCUGGAGAACUGAGGGGGGCUGCUCCUAGUACGAGAGGACCGGAGUGGACGCAUCACUGGUGUUCGGGUUGUCAUGCCAAUGGCACUGCCCGGUAGCUAAAUGCGGAAGAGAUAAGUGCUGAAAGCAUCUAAGCACGAAACUUGCCCCGAGAUGAGUUCUCCCUGACUCCUUGAGAGUCCUGAAGGAACGUUGAAGACGACGACGUUGAUAGGCCGGGUGUGUAAGCGCAGCGAUGCGUUGAGCUAACCGGUACUAAUGAACCGUGAGG
rnacentral:rRNA from 1 species